CUUCGCCUUCACUGAGAGUUCUACAUCUUCCUUUGAAGGCUGCUAGAAGACUGGCUUCCAGGAUAGCUAGGGUGAGGUCUUAAAGCCCAUGCCCACAGUGACACACCUACUCCAUCGAGGCCACACCUCCAAAUAGUGCCACUCUCUGGGCUAGGCAUACUCAAAGCACCACAAAGUCCUAAACUCUUCAAGUGUGAUUAGGAAUUGAGAUCAUUGCAGAUGUAACUACUUAAGAUGAGGUCAUACCAGAUGGAGUUGGUUGGGCCCCUAAUCUGUUAUGACUUGUUUCCUUACAAAACGAAGCCGUCUGAGCACAGACCACACAGAGAGAAUGUGCAGAGAGAACAGCACAUGAACGUAAAGACAGAUAUGGGGAUGUGUGUUCACGAUCUGGGCGAGGUUGACAGCAUACCUCAGAAGUAGACAGAGCCUCAAACAGAUUUACCUUCCCAGCACAGAGGCCACCUGCCUGCUGGUACUAGGAUCCUGGAUGCUAAGUUUGAUCAUAGAGACACCCAGUUUGGGGAUGGCAUUACGACAGGUCAGCCAUGCACUACACAGGAACCAGAGUCUAAGAAAGGCUUUGACUGGGAUAGGGUACUAAGAUUUUAGAAAUAUUACUUCAGGGGCUGGAGAGAUGCCUCAGCAGUUAAGAGCACUGACUGCUCUUCCAGAGAUCCUGAGUUCAAUUCCCAGCAACCAAUGGUGGUUCACAACCAUCUGUAAUGGGAUUUGAUGUCCUUUUCUGGUGUGUCUGAAGACAGCUACAGUGUACUCAUAUGCAUGAAAUAAAUAAAUCUUGAGAGAGAGAGAGAGAGAGAGAGAGAGAGAGAGUUCAAAGAGACUGAGAUGACCAGUUCUGUAUAAAAUUGCUUUAUCUCACUUUCUAACAGUGUGGUAUAUGCACAUAAUUUAGAAAAUGCGAGAGACUAAUUACAUAACAACAUGAAAAUUAGAAUUGUUCUUGGCUUCUCAACUCUGUAGUCCUCCCAACCCCCAACCACACCCCAUAUGUGCUAUUAUUUUUCUAAAUAACAUGCUGAUAUCACCGUUUCUGUACUUUUUGUUUUGUUUCGUUUUGUUUUUCUGCAAUGCUGGAAGUUAAACCUCAGGCCUGUAGUGACUGUCAGGUGCUCAAUUGCUGAACUAAACCCAUACCUUUUUUUCCCUUCCACUUUUGAUUUUAGACAAGGUCUCACUAAGUUGCCUAGGUAGGAACUGAAUUUCCAAUCCAUCAAUCCUUCUGCCUCAGCCUCCAGAAUGCUAUUACUAGGCCCAGGUAUUUUCUAUUUGGAACAUCAUGUGUUCCCUUCCCCAGGGUAGAAGAGGAAUUUGUCUUCUGGACAUAGACCUGGUCACCAGUGGAUGCCUUUGGUCAACACAGGCUCAGGAUGAAUUCGCCUCAGGGUUAUGUAACUAAUUUUUUUUUCAAAACCUAUUUUCUUUUCUUUUUUUCUUUCUUUUUUUUGUUGUUGUUUUUUUUUUUUUUGUUGUUGUUGUUGCUGUUGUUGUUUUUUCGAGACAGGGUUUCUCUGUAUAGCCCUGGCUGUCCUGGAACUCACUUUGUAGACCAGGCUGGCCUCGAACUCAGAAAUCUGCCUGCCUCUGCCUCCCGAGUGCUGGGAUUAAAGGUGUGCGCCACCACGCCCAGCCUUCAAAACCUAUUUUUAAUGAUGGUUCUUAAACGCUUUAACCUCCCUUGUAGCCCACCACCCACCAGAGGUAGUGGGAAAGAAAGGAUACAGGGAAAGUGUUUAGAAAGGUUUUUUGGAGCAACUCCAGUCUGUUUGGAAAUCAACAGUUCAGUUCACAGGUUAGCAGGCAUCAGUAACUCAAUCCACUUGCAAACACUUCAUGGGUAUACCAGCAGUCCAGUUCAGUAGAGUCGAGUUAGCAAUGAUGGUCAUACAACCUAGCAGAGACAGCCAGGCCCCAGCCUCAACACUCAGCCUCAGAGUCAGCAGGAGAGACCAGGAGGAAUGCUAGGAGAAGUUCUCAGCUAUGCUUCUCUCAGGGAAACGAAGAUCAGCGAAGACCCACAAGCAUUGCACAGCUAGCUCUAUAAGCAAGCCAAGCUCUGCCUCCAUCACUUUUUAUACUCCCUCCAAACAUCACGUGUCCUCCAUGGGUCUUGCCUCAGCAUGU
rnacentral:lncRNA from 1 species